rnacentral:rRNA from 1 species
CAAUAGCGUAUAUUAAAGUUGUUGCAGUUAAAAAGCUCGUAGUUGGAUUUGUGGUGUAUGCCGGCGGCCUGGUACAUUGUAUCGGAGCUUGCUUGCGUCGCCAUCCUUGGGUGGAUCCUGUGUGGCAUUAAGUUGUCGUGCAGGGGAUGCCCAUCGUUUACUGUGAAAAAUUAGAGUGUUCAAAGCAGGCUUAUGCCGUUGAAUAUAUUAGCAUGGAAUAAUGGAAUAGGACUUUGGUGCUAUUUUGUUGGUUUAUGGGACCGAAGUAAUGAUUAACAGGGACAGUUGGGGCCGUUUAUAUUUCGUUGUCAGAGGUGAAAUUCUUGGAUUUACGAAAGAUAAACUUCUGCGAAAGCAUUCGGCAAGGAUGUUUUCAUUGAUCAAGAACGAAAGUUAGGGGAUCGAAGACGAUUAGAUACCAU